rnacentral:rRNA from 1 species
UACGGAGGAUGCAAGCGUUAUCCGGAUUUAUUGGGUUUAAAGGGUGCGCAGGCGGCACGGCAAGCCGGCGGUCAAAUCGCGGGGCUCAACCCCGCCCAGCCGUCGGAACUGCCGGGCUAGAGUGGGCGAGAAGUGCGCGGAAUGCGUGGUGUAGCGGUGAAAUGCAUAGAUAUCACGCAGAACUCCGAUUGCGAAGGCAGCGCACCGGCGCCCUACUGACGCUCAGGCACGAAAGCGUGGGUAUCGAACAGG